UGAUGACAAGUCUCCGGAAUCGCUGAGACCGCUGUGCUGAAAGCAGCUUGAACCCUUCCCUCUGACGGCCGCGGCGGGUGCAGU